rnacentral:rRNA from 1 species
GACGAACGCUGGCGGCGUGCUUAACACAUGCAAGUCGAACGGUAAGGCCCUUCGGGGUACACGAGUGGCGAACGGGUGAGUAACACGUGGGUGAUCUGCCCUGCACUUCGGGAUAAGCCUGGGAAACUGGGUCUAAUACCGGAUAGGACUCCGGACUGCAUGGUCUGGGGUGGAAAGCUCUUGCGAUGUGGGAUGGGCCCGCGGCCUAUCAGCUUGUUGGUGGGGUGAUGGCCUACCAAGGCGACGACGGGUAGCCGGCCUGAGAGGGUGACCGGCCACACUGGGACUGAGAUACGGCCCAGACUCCUACGGGAGGCAGCAGUGGGGAAUAUUGCACAAUGGGCGCAAGCCUGAUGCAGCGACGCCGCGUGAGGGAUGACGGCCUUCGGGUUGUAAACCUCUUUCAGCAUCGACGAAGCGAAAGUGACGGUAGGUGCAGAAGAAGGACCGGCCAACUACGUGCCAGCCGCCGCGGUAA